rnacentral:rRNA from 1 species
AUUGAACGCUGGCGGAAUGCUUUACACAUGCAAGUCGAACGGCAGCACGGGGGCAGCCCUGGUGGCGAGUGGCGAACGGGUGAGUAAUGCAUCGGAACGUGCCCGGUCGUGGGGGAUAACGUAGCGAAAGUUACGCUAAUACCGCAUACGAUCUGAGGAUGAAAGCGGGGGACCUUCGGGCCUCGCGCGAUCGGAGCGGCCGAUGUCAGAUUAGGUAGUUGGUGGGGUAAAGGCCUACCAAGCCGACGAUCUGUAGCUGGUCUGAGAGGACGACCAGCCACACUGGGACUGAGACACGGCCCAGACUCCUACGGGAGGCAGCAGUGGGGAAUUUUGGACAAUGGGCGCAAGCCUGAUCCAGCCAUUCCGCGUGCAGGACGAGGGCCUUCGGGUUGUAAACUGCUUUUGUACGGAACGAAAAGGCUCUGGCUAAUACCUGGGGCUCAUGACGGUACCGUAAGAAUAAGCACCGGCUAACUACGUG